UUUUGCGAAUCAGUACCUGAUGUUUGUCUUGGCAUAUUGGGUGCCUCACCUCUUACGUAUGGUGAUUAAUUUUAAUCCCAUUUAGCCUACCUCUCUCUCUUCGACAGUGAUUGGCUGAGUGAGAUAUGGGGUUGUGACCCUAACCUAGCCAAUGGGAUGUGAAGAGAAGUUUGUUAAGGAUUCUAAAAAUACUUUCUUCAUUCAGAAGGAGGUACCAAAUACUUCCUCCUUCAGCCUGAGUGUGAUGACCUAUCAGUAUGAGAAAGGGUUACUUCCUGUUGAGGUUGCCAUUGCGGAUCACAAAGGGCCAAGACAGCCCAGAGCUAUCUAUCUCUCCCAGAGCCUUCUCAAGCUGAUGGCUCAUCUUCAGUCUUCAGAACCCCAGCAGGAUUUCCACUUGCCUAAUGCCCUCGUGGACGCUAUGAAGAUUCCGGAUACAGGCUUCCCUGGCUUCACCAGCCUAAGUGUUACCUCCUGAUGCUUGCCUGUGUUUUCAAUCACCUGGAGUCGGGCUCUGUGGCUGAGAAGAGAGACGGUGCAUGUCGUUGUAGAACAGCAAUGAGAUGCAGUCUACCACCUUCUGUUCCGGAGAUGGAGUCCGUGAGGAGAGAGGGACCCAGGGCUCCCGCCACCCAAAUUGUCAGCUUUAUCCCUUCUAUUGUCGUCUACACCUGCCUUCACCAGGGCAAAAACAAGCAGUGAAUUGAGACAACCGACUCCAAGUAGUUUAAUUUGGGAGCCUCAGGGCUGUUCCUUCCAAGGAAUGCUGGCUGAAGUGAUGGAAAAUUAGAGAAUUCCAGGAAUGGCAGGACAGAGACAGUGUAAAGCAUUUCAGCCACACUCUGGGAGGAUCUGUUCUUUAUACGGUCUCACCUCACACUGGGCGGGCCGCGUGCGCUUAGUUUUGUCGUCUAUAAAAAUGGAUGCAAUGAUGUCAUCACACAGGACCCCGUCGAGAAUUAAGUUGCCGCCUCCAGUACACCAUCCUGAAGCAGGACAGGUGCUUGCUAAGCGUCCGCUUCCACCCUCAGCCUCAACUGAUGAAUGGCCCCAGUGGAAAGAGAGUAUUCUGGACUGUCUUACCUUGGGAUCCUUGACAUUUCGCACCUACCCGUGUGUAAUUACCAUUGAGGUGUGGUAAUUAAUGACAAUUACCAUCAAGUGUGGCCUGAGGGGUCAACAGGUCUCUAAAGAGCAGGGAGAACCGGGUCCCCCAACAGCUCUCUGUGUGACAAAUAGGGGCGGGAAGUGGUGUCACUGGCUUGAAAGGGCCUGGGUGGCCAGAGGACUUAGGAGAUGAUUGUGACUCUGCUGCUGUUAGCUACAUAAUCGUAUGACACUAUUCGAUAUCUUUGGGUUUUACUUCCUCACUUAGAGGACACAGCUUGCGCCAGUUGGCUCUAUUCACCACGUAGAGCUCAUGCACACACUGGGAAGAGCCUACGGUGUGAACGCCAGGUCAAGGAGUUAGUAGUGCUUCUGUCUCCUCAUUGGUGGAGGGUGGGGUAUUAACAGAGCUUUCCCUCUCCUCCCUCACCUACUGGGCCCCAGAAGCUGACCAGACACACUCUUCGAUACAUACAGAAGCCUUUGACCUCUUACUGUCCUUGUCGUGGAAAAUCAGCUGUUUGCAAAAGUCCUCCCACUCUUCAACUUGUAGCACACUCCCGGCCACAUGGCCACCUUCUGUUGAGCCAACUGGAGUAUGGAGAUCAAGGACCUUGGUUUGCCCUGCGGAGGAGUUGGUAAUUUUCCCUUUCAGAUCUAAGGCCUGUGGUAAGAUACAGAUCUCAGCUUCUUCUUCUUCUUUUUAAUCUCCUUUGCAGAAAAUCCUCAAAAUCUUAGAAACUUCUAGAAGCCUUUAUUCCAUCCUCUUCUCCAUUUUUGCAGAGAAAAGCACAAAGGACCCGGAGUGGGGAGAGGAAGAGCCUUAGAAAGCUUAGCAAUUGACUGUCCUCGAUCUCCUUCCUGGACCCUAUCUUUGGCCAGGAGGGGCCUGACUGACUGAUGUAGAGAGGAAUGAGAGGAAGGUUCAUUGGGAGGUUACUGCCAUAGUUCAGUAUGAUAUGAUGGGGGCCUAUGUAGAGUGGGAAGGGGGUUAGAUGUUUAAUCCAAUGACAAUCGUCAUAGUAAAUUGGUGACUGGUGACUGGAUGUGUGAGCUUCAGCGGGAACAGAAGACGCCUGUUAUUGGUUGGUGCAGGACAAGGCAUGUGUAGGAGGUGAGAGUUCGGAGGGUGGGCAGUGAGCUUUAGGCAGGCUUGGGGAAGUAACCGUGGGACAUGCAGAGAAAGGCAUCCAGUGGAUAGUGAGUGGCUGUGUAGCCUGAGCUCAGGGCGCAGAUGGAGCGUGAGACGUGGUGCUCCACCUGCCAGAUCUAGAAACUGAACCAUGGGAGGGGAGGGUCAGCAGAGGGAAUUCAGGGCAAGGUAUAAAUAGAGCACAGAUACCUUCCCUGGGAGGGUUAUUCCUGCCCUCCAAUCGCCUUUCUCUCAGACCAGCACUGCACAUAAUGGUGUGUGUGUGUGUGUGUGUGUGUGUGUGUGUGUGUGUGUGUGUGUGUGUGUUUAUAGAACAGAGCUAACCGCUGAGAGGCUAAGUGGCUUUCUCUGAUGCCCUGAAUACAGCAUUAAAAAUCGUCCCCGCUAACCUGCCAUCUGAUUUCUCUCCAGCUGGCUGGUAAUUUCUGUUAAAUCCCAAAUGACCAUGUGUGAGGCUCCCCGGGGGCCUUCAAAGAACACAGGUCCCAGGAACACAAAAGCGCCUGGGAGAUUUCUCAGCCCAGGGAGCUUAAGCUUCUUUUUUCUUUAAUUUUUAAAUAACUCAUUCCAGAUUUAGCAAAAGAUCCAUUCAGAAGGAGCCUGGCCAGGCAGUGUGAGUUGACAGCUCUUGUUUCUGAACAAUCCAUUACUGAUUCAGCGCCAGCCACGAAGCCAGCAGGUGCCGAGCUCAACUAAACAUGUAGGAGCACACACCGAGAGAUGAGGAACCGGGAGAGUGACGGCAGUCUGCGCUCAGGGUGGUCCCUCCAGAGAGGAAGACAAGAGGGUUGGGGCGAGUGUCUCUCCCCACUUGGUAUAGGGAAACUUACGUGUUCCCCGGUGUGCUGGGUAUUCCAUUAGACCUUCCCAUAUGUGGUGACUUAGUCCUCGUCCGUGACCUGUGGGGCAUGGCACAUCUCCACUGGACAGAUAAGCGAACGGGACCUUUGCAGGUGGUGGGUGUGUAUGAGGGUGGACAGUGAAGAGACUGCCAAUGUGAGAGAGAACGGCUAGAGGCCUGUGGAAGAGUCCAGAGCAGAGAGAGAAAGAAGCAGACUGGACAUGGCCGGGCCUAGGGAAGCAGGACAGUGGGAGAGAACAGUGAGAUAGAUAGAUAGAUAGAUAGAUAGAUAGAAUAAGUCUGAGCGGGAGAUGAAGAUAUGUAUAGUGAGAAUAGCUGGGUUAUAAGAAAGAUGCGUAGCUGUGGAGGGGAAGCCCGUGAACUGGAGGGAUUUUAGGGUAGAGGAGGAGGUGAGAAGGGCCAGGACACUAGCAUGGACUUUGAACUGUGUAACAGGUACUUGUGAUGCUGAGGGAGCCUGGAGGCCCCACAGCCCUAGCCAGAUGUCCCUUCUGUCAGAGGCGAGGGGAAUGACUCCUUUUGGUAGAUGGGAACCGGUUUCACAAGUUUCUGAGGAGUUCUGGCUUUUAUCUAACCACCAGAAAUCCUCCUAUAGUCUAGGCUGAGCUCAUUUCUGACUGUUUGGACAGCCUUUGAGACCCAACAGUGAUCGGUUACAAAAGGCUGCUGCAUUCAAGCAUCUGAUUCCGGGUCCAGAGCUCUCUUCUCAGUGACGUAUUAGCAGGGCAGGAGGAUGGUGUGGUAACUGCUCUUCUCCAAGACUGUCCCAGGGAACUGAUUUCGGUAUUCAUGCCCUCUUGUAUCUCCCUUCCAUAGGGUAUCUGGGCUAGCCCUAUGUGGCUGCUGUGGAGAAAAUGAUGCUAGAGAUUUCUGAAGCUAGGGCCAGGUGCCAUAUAGCUUGUUCUCUGCGAUGCUUAGAUGUUGUGAGAAGCAAGUAGCUAUGGAAGACGUCUGACUUCUUGGAGACUAACUGCCAUGCUGUUUUGAAGCCCAAGCUAAUCACGAGAAUGGGGGUAUAGAGGAAGAUGCCCCGUCUCUCUCCAGCUGCUCAAGCUAUCCCAGCUGAGGCAUAAAUCAUGGAAGCCAGUGCUGCCAGCAGGGUCUAGAUUGAUGGCAUCGGAUGCCGAGACACGGAGCCUCUACCUUCUGUCACUUCGCUUGGCACGUCGGGUCAGAUCAGCCAGAACCACAGCCAGACUCAGAAAUGUCACAUCGAUUGCUUACUCAGAACACGUUCCCCCGGCCUUUCCUCCCAUCUAGUCUGUGGGACGUGGGGGCCUGCUGUAGAUUUCAUAUCUGCAGGGCAAAAGGAGCAGACAAGGAGACCUGAGUCACGUCAGAAGGCACAGAUAAGGGAAGGUGGAAGUCUCAGAUGAGGACCCAUAGGCUGACGUUUGGGGCUGCUCCCUCUCCCUCCGGGUGGGCCUUGGGGAGCCCCAGGCGAACGAACACACAGAGGCUCUGUCACUGGGUAGCAUGGCCCCUGCAGGACUGCUUGAGAACAGAGUGCCGGGCAGGGCUGACUUCCUGUGACUCCGGAUCGGGGCCUCUGUGUGCAAAGAUGCUUUCCAUCAGCCCCCACCUCAUCUGCUACACAUCUACAGCCCCUCAGAAGCAUUGGCCAUUUGAGGGCAAGUGAGCAUGGAUGCCACCUAGAAAACAGCGUGAGGCGGUGUUGAAAAGCACUAGAUGACCCCUGUUACAAGAGGAAUCAGCUUGGUGGACCAGAUCCUAUACCCUCAGCCUCCCAGGGCCUCCAUCCUGCACCCAGAUUCCCUUCUCAUCAGAACCCUGCUUGCUCCUCAGAGCCUGCCUGGCCUUCCCCUCCAUUGGAAAAGCCCACCCUGGGUAUUUUGCUUCCCAAGCCUCCCUUUGAAUUCUGCUUACCUUUUGUUUUCUGUACCCACACACCACGUAUAUUAUUACAUUGACUUACUUAGUCUUCCAUACAUUGAUUCUUUUAUUGUCCUUAAA